rnacentral:rRNA from 1 species
CAUACGUCGGUGGGGUCUUCGGUCCCCGCCGGGAAAGGUGGCCUCUCCAUGGAAGCCACCACUGAAGGAGCAGCCCGCGUCCCAUCAGCUAGUUGGCGGGGUAAUGGCCCACCAAGGCUAAGACGGGUAGCUGGUCUGAGAGGAUGGCCAGCCACACUGGAACUGAGACACGGUCCAGACUCCUACGGGAGGCAGCAGUGGGGAAUAUUGGGCAAUGGGCGCAAGCCUGACCCAGCCAUGCCGCGUGAGUGAUGAAGGCCUUCGGGUCGUAAAGCUCUGUGGGGAGGGACGAAACCGGCCGGCGCGAAUAGCUCCGGCCCUUGACGGUACCUCCUUAGCAAGCACCGGCUAACUCCGUGCCAGCAGCCGCGGUAA